rnacentral:misc_RNA from 1 species
GAUGAAGAACGUAGCGAAAUGCGAUAAGUAAUGUGAAUUGCAGAAUUCAGUGAAUCAUCGAAUCUUUGAACGCACAUUGCGCCCGCCAGCAUUCUGGCGGGCAUGCCUGUUCGAGCGUCAUUUCAACCAUCAAGCCCCCGGCUUGUGUUGGGGACCUGCGGCUGCCGCAGGCCCUGAAAAGCAGUGGCGGGCUCGCUGUCACACCGAGCGUAGUAGAUUUUAUCUCGCUCAGGGCGUGCUGCGGGUUCCGGCCGUUAAACCACCUUCAUAACCCAAGGUUGACCUCGGAUCAGGUAGGAAGACCCGCUGAACUUAAGCAUAUCAAUAAGCGGAGGA